rnacentral:rRNA from 1 species
CCUACGGGAGGCAGCAGUGGGGAAUAUUGCACAAUGGGGGAAACCCUGAUGCAGCGACGCCGCGUGAGUGAUGAAGUAUUUCGGUAUGGAAAGCUCUGUCAGUAGGGAAGUAAAUGACGGUACCUGACCAAGAAGCCCCGGCUAACUACGUGCCAGCAGCCGCGGUAAUACGCAGGGGGCAAGCGUUAUCCGGAUUUACUGGGUGUAAAGGGAGCGUAGACGGCAGGGCAAGUCUGGAGUGAAAGGCGGGGGCUCAACCCCCGGACUGCUCUGGAAACUGCCAGGCUGGAGUGCAGGAGAGGUAAGUGGAAUUCGUGGUGUAGCGGUGAAAUGCGUAGAUAUUAGGAGGAACACCAGUGGCGAAGGCGGCUUACUGGACUGUAACUGACGUUGAGGCUCGAAAGCGUGGGGAGCAAACAGGAUUAGAUACCCGUGUAGUC